rnacentral:lncRNA from 10 species
AAAACAAAAAAAAAGACAUUCAACAAAUGAUAUCUGUGGAUGUGUAUAAGGAUCAGCUGGGCCACGCUGAGAUCUGAACACAAAUUCUCUCCACAGUGCUGUACCAAAAAGACAUCCACGCCUCCCCUAUGACAACCGCAUGAUGCUCAAGGCGUGCAUCCUUAGGAGGCCAUGAGCAUUCUAGCCGGCGGCACCCACGUGGUCCCUGCGGCUGCACAGCUGCUGGGCUUCCAUGAGGAAGAGGGCAGUGGACAAGAGUCAUGAAGACUGAUUCAGAAACUCCCCUGCAGGAGGAGAAGACGUCUGAGCCAUCCCUGUGCCACCACCAAGAGUCACUCCAGCUUCUGAAAAAGCCACCGUGGGGGGGAGCCGCCUCCAAUUAAAGUCCUUGGUCACAUCAGAGGAAGUGUCUCUCCUCCUUCCCCCUUUGCCAGCCCUACCUCUGAGAUUCCCAAAAACAUGGAGCAAUU